AACAAACCCAACUAGUUAUGCCCCUUUGCAGGAGCAAUCACCGAAGCUAUCAGUCAUCCAGACUUGGAAUUAGAAUCCAAAAGUACCUUGAAGAUCUUUCAUUGACUCCAGAAAGAGUCUUAAAAUUGGCCAUUUUGAUAGCCUUAGGCAAAGCAAGAUUGACCAUUGUAAUGAUGCACUGUACCUUCGCAUCUAUGCUUCGAUCCAGAACUCUCCAGUUCUCGAUUUUGAGUCCUGGUUUAUAAGUCUUUAGACAAGCCAAAAAGUUUGUUCACAUUUUGUGUGAAGACAUUCACAGUACAGAAUACCACUUUCACAGGCUUGGGAAAGUCCUCCACAGGAAAAACUAAUAACACCUAUUCAAAAGUCGGAUGAACCACUGGCAGGUGAAGUAAUUUACACAAGUAUAGAUGAAUGCCCGUUAUACAAGAUAGUCCUUGAGCGUUGAUAGAGGUUUGCCUUAGGAGUGCCAUCUAUUCACCUCAAAAUCUUUCUUGUAGAAGAUUGACUUCAUCAGCCACUAUCUUGGAGUCUGGGAGCCCUCCUUGAUAAUG
rnacentral:lncRNA from 1 species